ACUCCUACGGGAGGCAGCAGUGAGGAAUAUUGGACAAUGGGUGGAAGCCUGAUCCAGCCAUCCCGCGUGUAGGAUGACGGCCUUAUGGGUUGUAAACUACUUUUAUCUGGGGAUAAACCUACUUACGUGUAAGUAGCUGAAGGUACCAGAAGAAUAAGCACCGGCUAACUCCGUGCCAGCAGCCGCGGUAAU
rnacentral:rRNA from 1 species